GGAAACGUCGCAUAGUCUGGACGAUUGCACUUCCCCGCUAAGGAAGAGGGUGUCAAAGCCCCGUGGGUUCAAAUCCCACCGUUUCCG
rnacentral:tRNA from 1 species